AGGGCACCACCAGGAGUGGAGCCUGCGGCUUAAUUUGACUCAACACGGGAAAACUCACCCGGCCCGGACACUGUAAGGAUUGACAGACUGAGAGCUCUUUCUUAAUUCAGUGGGUGGUGGUGCAUGGCCGUUCUUAGUUGGUGGAGCGAUUUGUCUGGUUAAUUCCGAUAACGAACGAGACUCUGGCCUAUUAAAUAGACGAGAUAUUACCCUGUAUCUCGCGCUUCUUAGAGGGACAAGCGGCGUCUAGUCGCAUGAAAAAGAGCAAUAACAGGUCUGUGAUGCCCUUAGAUGUCCGGGGCUGCACGCGCGCUACACUGAAAGAAUCAGUGGGCGUUUUACCUGGUUCGGAAGAACCGGGUAACCCAAGUAAUUUCUUUCGUGCUUGGGAUAGGGAAUUGCAAUUAUUUCCCUUAAACGAGGAAUUCCCAGUAAACGCGGGUCAUAAGCUCGUGUUGAUUGCGUCCCUGCCCUUUGUACACACCGCCCGUCGCUACUACCGAUUGGGUGACUUAGUGA
rnacentral:rRNA from 1 species